rnacentral:rRNA from 1 species
AUGAAUAUUGUCACGGGGGCCAUGGGCAGCCUGAUCCCCAAGCUGGGCGAGCUGCUCAUGGAGGAGUACAAGCUGCACAAGCGCAUCAAGAAAGAUGUCGAGUUUCUCAGGAAGGAGCUUGAGAGCAUGCACGCUGCCCUCAUCAAGGUUGGCGAGGUGCCGCAGGACCAGCUUGACAGGCAAGUCAAGCUCUGGGCCGACGAGGUCAGAGAGCUCUCCUAUAACAUGGAGGAUGUGGUUGACAAGUUCCUGGUACGUGUCGAAGGUAUUCAACACCCUCAUGACAACACCAACAGAUUCAAGGAGCUCAAGAACAAGAUGAUAGGCUUGUUCAAGAAAGGCAAGAAUCACCAUCGCAUAGCUGACGCUGUCAAGGAAAUCAAGGAGCAACUCCAGGAGGUGGCUGCUAGGCGUGAAAGGAACAGGCUCGAUGGUAUUGCUCCUAAUCCUAGCGAAGCAAUUGCCAUCGAUCCUCGUCUCCAUGCUCUGUACACAGAAGCGUCAGAGCUCGUCGGCAUCUAUGGGAAGAGGGAUAAGGACCUCAUGAGGCUGCUCUCCUUGGAGUCCGACGGCGAUGCCUCAAACAAAAGACUGAAAAAGGUCUCUAUCGUUGGAUUUGGUGGAUUGGGCAAGACCACUCUUGCUAGAGCAGUAUACAAGAAGAUCAAAGGUGAUUUUGAUUAUGGGGCAUUCGUUUCUGUCGGUCGGAACCCUGAUAUAUCAAGAAGGUUUUCAGGGAUAUCCUCAUUGAUCUCGGCAACUCUCACUCAGAUCUGGCGAUACUGGAUGCAAAUCAGCUUAUUGAAAAGCUUCAUGAAUUCCUAG